rnacentral:rRNA from 1 species
GGUACCUGACUAAGAAGCCCCGGCUAACUACGUGCCAGCAGCCGCGGUAAUACGUAGGGGGCAAGCGUUAUCCGGAUUUACUGGGUGUAAAGGGGGCGCAGACGGCAGCGCAAGCAAGGAGUGAAAGCCCGGGGCGCAACCCCGGGAGUGCUUUGGAAACUGUAAAACUGGAGUGCAGGAGAGGCAGGCGGAAUUCCUAGUGUAGCGGUGAAAUGCGUAGAUAUUAGGAGGAACACCAGUGGCGAAGGCGGCCUGCUGGACUGUAACUGACGUUGAGGCUCGAAGGCGUGGGGAGCAAACAGG